UACAGAGGGUGCAAGCGUUGUUCGGAAUUAUUGGGCGUAAAGGGAGUGUAGGCGGUUUUCUAAGUCUUCUGUGAAAUCUACGGGCUUAGCCUGUAACGUGCAGAGGAAACUGGAAGGCUUGAGUGUCGGAGAGGAUAGGGGAAUACCCGGUGUAGAGGUGAAAUGCGUAGAUAUCUGGAGGAACACCGGUGGCGAAGGCGGCAUCCUGGACCAACACUGACACUGAGGAGCGAAAGCCAGGGGAGCAAACGGG
rnacentral:rRNA from 1 species